UGAGUCGGCUGGGUAAUCGCGGCGGGCGUAACUGCGCGGAAGCGUGUACGUCGCCUCGUCGAGGAAAGUCCGGACUCCACAGAGCACGGUGGUUGCUAACGGCAACCCAGGGCGACCUGCGGGAAUAGUGCCACAGAAAGGAAACCGCCUCCCAGCUGCACUGGAUGAUAUGCACUGGCAGGUAAGGGUGAAAGGGUGUGUUAAGAGCGCACCAGCGCCCGCAGUGAUGCGGGCGGCUAGGUAAACCCCACCGGGAGCAAGGCCGAAGGGCGCACCUCUGGUGUGCCUGCACACGGACAGCCACGUGAAAGGCUGAAGUUGCUCGACUUCUUGAGCCGUGUGGGUUGGCCGCGUGAGGCCCGUCAGCAAUGGCGGGUCCAGAUGGAUGAUUACCGCCCACGGCAGCAGCCGCGGGAACAGAAUCCGGCUCAUAGGCCGGCUCAUUCG
rnacentral:RNase_P_RNA from 1 species